rnacentral:lncRNA from 1 species
CAACUACCCACCUCGAAGUUUCCAUGUCUAUACUCUUUCCCCAAUUUGAUUUUUCUUCGCAUUUCGGACUACGGAUUCCAAUUUCCAGAUCCCUCAGCUGUGCUCGGCAGAGCUGAUCCUUCCAAUUUUCAAGACCAGCGGGAGAAACAGCAAGGCCUCAGCUAUUUCCCUUCAGCAGGUCUGUCAUCUCCUUCCUCUUGCUUUGUGAAAUUUCUGUCUAAUCCGUGGUUGAAUCUUUUUUAUUUAGCUUGUUCACUUGUGUGCCUAAAUGUGAAUUUUUAAUCUUUACCAGAUCUUGUAUUUUUGAUUGUUAAAUUAGUUGGUUUCUGUGUGAAAAGUCUUUGGGAAUUUAUUUUGAUAGUGCUUAGGAAUUAAUUUUAGGUGCAUUCACUUACAUGCCAUUUUAUAUGUUUUCCCGCAAUUUUUGCUUCCUUUUGAUAAACUUAAACCCUGUUCCGAUACUGGUAAAAAUGUUUAUUUACCUUAUUUUGGCAAAAAGAAAAGAUAAAAAGACAAUCUUUUGAUGAGGGAUGGGUUGUUUACAGAAUUAUUGACAUUUUCAUAUUAAAUAUUGAAAGAGAAGAUAUUCAUAGAAGUUGAUUUCCUGGAAAUCUUACUUUAAAGUUGGUUUAUGAAAGACUUUAAAGUUGGUUUAUCAAAGAGAAGUUGUUUCUUCUUCUUCCUUCACUAAUCUAAGUUUCUUCUUCUUCUACAUGCGGCUAUAUCAGUUUGAUGAUUAGAUUGUUAUCAAUCAUGUGCUAUUGUUUAGUGCGGCAUCGAGUGCCUCUUCUCUGAUCGAUAUAGACAUCUUCCACCUUCCAUCGAGCAUCCACUCUGCUCAUCCUUUUUUCCCAGGGGCUAAAACAGAAGUAUUAGCAUACAAUUUGCUCCACUCAUUCUAAAUCUCUGAGUCUUCAAACAUUUUGUUCCAUAACUUCUUCAAGAGUUAUACAUUAUAGAAGUACUCAUCAUUCCAUAAGAAAUGAAUCAACACAUGUCAAGUUGAGCUGUCUGUUCAAAUACUUGCCUGAGGCAAUGCACUGCAUCCCACCAUAACUGUCUAUGGCUACCAGCAUAUCAAGAAGCCUAGCAACUCAUGUUUGGUUCCCUCAACAGUUUGUUAAAAUGCACCAGUGUCAAGCCUGAAGACAUGGUAUCCUUGUGCUGAUUGUUGCUAUUUGUUCAAUCCGAUGACUUUGCUUUCUGCCGUGGUUGUCAAUCACUAUGCAUUAUAUUAAGAGGCAAUGUUAAGAUCUUCUUUGAAUUCAACCUAGAAGAGUUGGAGAGAGUUUGCUUAUAUGAUUCUCUUAAGGUGUUGGGUGUGAAGAAGAGAAGGGACAAAAGAAGUUGAUCUGAAGGAAAUCGUGGUCCAAGAAUUUCUACACGAAGCCCUUCUCUUGUUCACUAAAAGAGGCAAUGCACUCUUUGAUUUCUGUAUGUAUGGAAGCUAAAUAAAACCGUGAAUAUUUCUUUAAUUUUGUACAAACAUAUGAAGACUUGUGGAAAUAACCCUAGCUGUGAUCCUUAUCGAAGAUGUAUUAACAGCUCUUUUCAAUGAUCCUUGUGUUAUAUGUUUCUUUGUGAUUGAAUGAAGGCUUCUACAUGUUUUUGUUAUUUACUGGAUUUAUGACCUUUUUUUGGUUUUUUUUUUUGAGGAUAGUGGUUUUUAGAAAGGACUUUUGUAUGAUUUUGCAGGGCACUUUGAGAAGUCUAAUAAGCUUAAAGAGAUGGCAAGUGGGUUUGGGGAAUCAACAAGUAGAGCACCUUUAAGUCCAUUUUGCUCAGGGAAUACUAGUAAUAACAGUGGUGAUGCGGGUAAUUUUGAGUGUAACAUUUGCUUUGACUUAGCUCAAGAGCCAAUUAUUACACUCUGUGGUCACCUCUUCUGCUGGCCUUGCCUUUACAAGUGGCUUCAUAUUCACUCUCUUUCAAAGGAAUGCCCAGUUUGUAAGGCCGUCAUA